CAGUAGCCGCGGGAAUACGUAGGUGGCAAGCGUUGUCCGGAAUUAUUGGGCGUAAAGGGCUCGCGGGCGGUUUCUUAAGUCUGAUGUGAAAGCCCCCGGCUCAACCGGGGAGGGUCAUUGGAAACUGGGAAACUUGAGUGCAGAAGAGGAGAGUGGAAUUCCACGUGUAGCGGUGAAAUGCGUAGAGAUGUGGAGGAACACCAGUGGCGAAGGCGACUCUCUGGUCUGUAACUGACGCUGAGGAGCGAAAGCGUGGGGAGCGAACAGGAUUAGAUACCCCGGUAGUCCCUGUCUCUUAUAC
rnacentral:rRNA from 1 species